rnacentral:rRNA from 1 species
GUGUCAGCAGCCGCGGUAAUACGGAGGGUGCGAGCGUUGUCCGGAAUUACUGGGCGUAAAGCGUGCGCAGGCGGCUGACUAAGCUUGAUGUGAAAUCCCCGGGCUCAACCUGGGAACUGCAUUGAGAACUGGUCGGCUAGAGUGCGGCAGAGGGGGUUGGAAUUCCACGUGUAGCAGUGAAAUGCGUAGAGAUGUGGAGGAACACCGAUGGCGAAGGCAGACCCCUGGGUCGACACUGACGCUCAUGCACGAAAGCGUGGGGAGCAAACAGGAUUAGAAACCCUGGUAGUCC